AUGAGAGCUACACAUUCCAAAAAAGUUGGGACAGGUAGCAAUAAAAGGCCGGAAAAGUUAAAUGUACAUAUAAGGAACAGCUGGAGGACCAAUUUGCAACUUAUUAGGUCAAUUGGCAACAUGAUUGGGUAUAAAAAGAGCCUCUCAGAGUGGCAGUGUCUUUCAGAAGUCAAGAUGGGCAGAGGAUCACCAAGCCUAGCAUCCAUCUGGCAAAUCUCCGCUCUCUACCCAACAAAACGGACAAAAUCCUUCUGCUUUCCCGGACAAAUAAGGAUUUCUCACACUCUGCUGCUCUGUGUUUCAUGGAAACCUGGCUCAAUGACGCCAUACCGGACAGCGCGCGGGACAUGCUUUUAUAUCAAUGAACGGUGGUGCACAGAUGUAACCGUGUUAAAGAAGAUGUGCUGUUCAGAUCUAGAAGUGCUUUUUGUCAACUGCAAGCCAUUCUAUUCGCCGCGGGAGUUUCACUCGUUCAUUCUGGUGAGUGUUUACAUCCCUCUGCAAGCGUACGUAAGUCUGGCUUUACAGAAACUCACUGACCAGAUUACGGAGACAGAACAACAACACCCGGACUCCGUUUUAAUCAUUCUUGGGGACUUUAAUAAAGCCAAUCUCUCCCGUGAACUGCCAAAAUACAGACAGCAUGUUACAUGUCCCACAAGAGACAGUAAUAUAUUGGAUCACUGUUACACCACAAUAAAGGAUGCAUAUCACUCUGUUCCACGAGCAGCUUUGGGGCUGUCUGAUCACUGUCUGGUUCAUCUUAUACCAACCUACAGGCAGAAACUUAAAUCUGCUAAACAUGUAGUUAAGAAUGUAAAGAGAUGGACCAACGAAACAAAGCAGGAUUUACAAGCUUGUUUGACCUCACUGAUUGGAGUGUUUUUGAAGUCUGCUACCGAGACCGUAACAUCCUAUAUUAGUUUUUGUGAGGAUAUAUGUAUUCCUACCAGGACUUAUUUAACAUUCAACAACGAUAAGCCAUGGUUUACAGCAAAACUCAGACAUCUUCGUCAGGCCAAAGAGGAUGCCUACAGAAAUGGGGACAGAGUCUUGUAUAAUCAGGCCAGAAACACACUGAACAAAGAGAUUAGAGCGGCUAAAAGGACCUACUCUAAAGAGUUAGAAGACCAGUUUACUUCCAACGGACUCAACUUCAGUGUGGAGAGGACUGAGAGCCAUCACCAACUACAAGACACCAUCACCCUGCACUGA
rnacentral:lncRNA from 1 species